UUUUAUUCUUAAAUAUACAAUAUCGAAUACUGACCUCUUUUAGACGAAUUUUUCUUUGAACGAUACAUGCAGUAUUGUUAUAAUAAAAUGCAAACUGAUCUAAUCUCCAAAAUUGAAAAUUCUAUGUUCCAAUAAAUCUCUUAUCGAUAAUCUUAAAUCGUGACAACUCGAUAAUUCUUGCAAAUCUGUUUAUUAUUCCAACAUGUUUAAAAAUAAAACAAGAAAUGUCAACAAUGUUGUAGUAAGACUGGAGAAAAUGAAAAUAACAUUGAAUCGAAGGCCAUAAAGGGCUCAUAGCCAUCAAACACCGAAAGAAUUCAACAUACAGUGAAAGCAAUCGUCCUAAUGGCCACAUUAUCCAUUCGAGUCACAUUUCCAUUGACACGACUAUACUGCGAACUGAUUCAAGGAGUCGACCGCGAACAAACGACUCGUCGAGUCCUCGACCGUUCUCUUGCUACGUAUUUUACACGAGUGACGUCACGCGCAAAAGGAGGAAUGGAUGAUGUCCCGCGACUGCCACAAUCUCACGCCGGUGCGUGAAUCCACGUACACGAUGGCGCGUAUAGCGUGUAUGUGCACGUGCGGACGAGUGCCGACAAUACGUCACGGCAGUAUUGCAGUCUAAAUCUCGGUACUUUUAUGGGGCAGUAAAGUAAAACGGUCUGACAACAACUCCGGUGGCACAUACGCGUUCCAUCUGUCCAUCAAACUCUCGCGUCACUAGAGCGCGCCACGCGCGAGACCGUGUGUCAAUUAAUUGACUAGGAAAUUACGAAAUUGUCUCAAUUCACUGCUAGCAAAUCUAUUACAUUAAAGAUUAACUGACCUGCUGCACAGCUCGAACGGGUGAAACGUUUUCUCCACGGCGCCGUACACUUUGAGGCCUUUUAUUUACAAGUUUAUAAAGAAAAACAUCAGCCUGGAACAGAAAGAAAGGGAAUGCUUAUCGACCUUAAAUUUAAAUCUCUCCAAUCAAAAUUAUGGAAAUGGCAACGGUGAUUUUUCAAAUUAAGGAAAAAAAGGUUCUCGCACGAAUAAUUUAGAACCCAAAAUGCGUACAGAGAAUUGACGAGAGAUCCCUUUCACAGGUAGGCAAAUUCAAUCAUGGGCGUGAAUUUCGAUUCGUCGUGGUGAACGUAAAUAUAGAAAUCGAGGCUGCAGGUAGGAAACGUGAAAAUGGUCUCUGGAAGUGUCGUCUACCGAAGUCAAAUCUCCAGGGAUGAGUUUACGGCAAGCUGAACACCGUUUCAAACGGAAGAGGAAGCGUGUAAGAGAGGGACAAAUACUUUUUUGAAAGUAACAAAUACUCUCCAACCAAAAAAAUGGAAUCACCGGUGAAAAUAUUUAUGAUUGGCCAGGAUUAUUCAACACACGUCCAUACAAGAGAAGCAACCAUGAAACAAUCUCUUUAAGAUAUUAUUUCACAAUAAUAAUUCUUGAUCCAAUACACAUGAAUGGAAUCACCGGUGGAAAUAUCUAUGAUUGGCCACGAUUAUUCAACACACACAAGGGAAACGAGCAACCAUGAAACAAUCUCUUUAAGAUAUUAUUUCACAAUAAUAAUCUUGAUCCAAUACAUAUUUUAAGAAUUGAUCAUAUUCAAUAUAACAUUAAAUGUAACAUAAAUAUGAACUAAAACAAAUUUUAUUUUUCCAGAAAUGGAAUCACCGGUGGAAAUAUCUAUGAUUGGCCAGGAUUAUUCAACACACGUCCACACAAGGGAAGCAACCAUGAAACAAUCUCUUUUCCCAGAAGCCGGACAUCUUAUCCAAACGGCCGAUACACAAAUCCUGGCCAUUUAUCCGUCACAAAAGGCCCACUUUUCAGUUUCUUCUCUCCGGUUUGAUAAAUAGAACGGUUGGAGAGAAAGAGAAAUGGCAAAACUGGACGAAAUGUGGGGGCAGGACGUGCCACGGGGGCGCAGAAGGGUGGUCAUGUGAGAAAUACAUGGGUGUGUGCAGAGGAGAUUGGUCGAGGGGUGAGGACACAGGACACGAGAAAGCUCUUGCGUAUCAGAGGGAUGGUUAUGCCAUUUCUAUGGAACCGUCCAUUUACACAACAGAGACGUGAGCACGCAUCUUGCUGUGUAAUCGAAUUAAAAAAUUGCACGCCAUUUUUGCUGCAGGAAGGAACGUCGAAUUUUGGAAUAGGAUUGUUAUUUAUCACGUGCUAGAUUUAUACUUGUCUAAAGAGAAAUUAUUUUCAAGAACAUUGUUGGUAGUUAAAAUGAAUUGUUGCUGGGAAGAUUGUGUUAUACAAAAUAUUGGAAAAAAUUCAAGACACGAGCUGCAGACAGGAAGUUUCUCUCGUAUAACGGUAGUUAAAAAUUAUCGAGUGGCUGGUAAAAAUAUAGGACUCUUAACCUUGACCCAAGGAUUACAAUGAAAUUUAUUACCCUCAAAGUUUAUUGCUCUCAAACGCACGUUUUCGAUAACACCUCUUGUCACUGUAAUGGGUCGAUAUUUAUCGCCUCGUUAUUCGAGUAAGAGUGGUUUACAUGGAUAGAAAGAUUUUUCGAUAAAUACCUAAAAGAUAUAAGUUAUAAGUAUUUACUUAAAAAUUAAUAUAUUUAUAUGUUAUUUACA